rnacentral:rRNA from 1 species
UACGAAGGGGGCUAGCGUUGUUCGGAAUUACUGGGCGUAAAGCGCGUGUAGGCGGAUUGUUAAGUCGGGGGUGAAAUCCUGGAGCUCAACUCCAGAACGGCCUUCGAUACUGGCAAUCUCGAGUCCGGAAGAGGUGAGUGGAAUUCCUAGUGUAGAGGUGGAAUUCGUAGAUAUUAGGAAGAACACCAGUGGCGAAGGCGGCUCACUGGUCCGGUACUGACGCUGAGGCGCGAAAGCGUGGGGAGCAAACAGG